GAUGAACGCUGGCGGCGUGCCUAAUACAUGCAAGUCGAGCGAACAGACGAGGAGCUUGCUCCUCUGACGUUAGCGGCGGACGGGUGAGUAACACGUGGAUAACCUACCUAUAAGACUGGGAUAACUUCGGGAAACCGGAGCUAAUACCGGAUAAUAUAUUGAACCGCAUGGUUCAAUAGUGAAAGACGGUUUUGCUGGCACUUAUAGAUGGAUCCGCGCCGCAUUAGCUAGUUGGUAAGGUAACGGCUUACCAAGGCAACGAUGGGUAGCCGACCUGAGAGGGUGAUCGGCCACACUGGAACUGAGACACGGUCCAGACUCCUACGGGAGGCAGCAGUAGGGAAUCUUCCGCAAUGGGCGAAAGCUUGACGGAGCAACGCCGCGUGAGUGAUGAAGGUCGUCGGAUCGUAAAACUCUGUUAUUAGGGAAGAACAAAUGUGUAAGUAACUAUGCACGUCUUGACGGUACCUAAUCAGAAAGCCACGGCUAACUACGUG
rnacentral:rRNA from 1 species